rnacentral:rRNA from 1 species
CCAAUAGCGUAUAUUAAAGUUGUUGCAGUUAAAAAGCUCGUAGUUGAAUUUCGGGAUUGACGUGAUGGUCAUGCCUUAAGGGGUAUGAACUGUUACUGUUGAUUUCUCACCUUCUGGAGAAACUUGAUGUCCUUUAUUGGGUGUCUUGCGGAUCCAGGACCUUUACCUUGAAAAAAUUAGAGUGUUUAAAGCAGGCAUUUUUGCUCGAAUACAUAAGCAUGGAAUAAUAGAAUAGGACGGCAUGGUUCUAUUUUGUUGGUUUCUAGGAUCACCGUAAUGAUUAAUAGGGAUAGUUGGGGGCAUUAGUAUUCAAUUGUCAGAGGUGAAAUUCUUGGAUUUAUUGAAGACUAACUACUGCGAAAGCAUUUGCCAAGGAUGCUUUCAUUAAUCAAGAACGAAAGUUAGGGGAUCGAAGACGAUCAGAUACCGUCGUAGUCUUAACCAUAAACUAUGCCGACUAGGAAUCAGACGAUGUUAAUUUUUUAAUGACUCGUUUGGCACCUUACG